UCUCUCCUGUGUGAGUUCUCAGGUGUGCAACGAGAUGAGAAUUCUGACUGAAACUAUUCCCACAUUCAAGACAUUUACAGAGUUUCUCGCCUGUGUGAAUCAUCUGGUGGCUAAUGAGAUUAGAAUUGAUACUGAAAUUUUUCCCACAAAAAACACGUUCAAAUGUUUCUAUCCUGUAUGAAUUCUCAGAUGUAUCAUGAGCUGGAGUUGUUCUGAUUUUCUCUAGUUUCUCUCUCACCUGAUGAGGAAGGUGAAGAAUUAUGUAGCUCUCCGAAGGAAAUGGAAAAUACUUUGAUUUCUGGACUCACUUGUUUUGCUUUUCAGUGUUGCUUCUUAUCCUCAGUUGUCCAGAGUGCUGUUAUUGCCAUCCUCUUUGUCUAUAAGAUUCAAAUAAAAGGGUAUCUUUAAUUGUGCAUAAAAUGGUUGCAGAGGAUGAGAAAAAAAGAAAACGUUUACAUUACAAUGACAAAGCAAACAUGCCUCAAUGCUCCAAUACGCUCUUACAUUAAUCAUGAUUCAUUUGACACAUGGAAGGCUACCCAGAUCCAGGUUCAAAUAUCCAUUCAAUGAUGAAAUUCAUUUGUUGACUGGGUCAAUCACAAAUUCUUAGCAGAGCAAAGGGUUGUUUUCAAAUACAGGCAAGUGAAAAAGAAAGAACACCCUCUUUGAUAUCUUUGGUUUUACUUAUCAGGACAUAAAAAAUAUCAUUGCAACAGAAAAGAAUAAUAGAAUUUGAAAGGAUCUUGGAGAUCUUCUAAUCCAGACCCAGAAGUGGGCUGCUGCUGGUUCUCCCCGAUUCAGGCGCACGAACCAGGGAGAUAAUGCGCAGUUUGGCAAACUGGAAAGUGCCACCACUGGCUGGCCCCACCCUUCUCCCUGCCCCCCAGUCACUCCUUAUCUCGACUCACCUGCCUUGUCCGAUAGCUAAUCAUGCUUACAGCUCUCUGGCUCCUUCGCUCGCUCCACGCGGUCCCUGCAGCCCAGCUGAUCUCCGUGCCUCACCUGCCUGCCUGCCUUUGCUAUGACCUACCAUGCAGGUCACGCGUCCCACUCACCACAGUGGGUGGGCCUUAGGCCACCUCACAGUGCGUACAAUUUUCUGAAUGCUGUUGGCUGAUCUGCUCCCUCCUGGCUCUUCUCCAGCCUGCCAGAGCGCUGUCUUCCCUGCUCCAGAAGACACAGCCUCUCCGCACCUGGCCGAAGAGGGCACCAGCAAGGGAAGAGGUUUACAAGCGUGUGGGAUCAUGGAGCUCUUUGUCUGAGGUUUUUACGGCCUGCCAGGACAGUGAAAUCCAAAACCUGCCCAAGAAUCGAGAGUGGUGCUUGGGAAAGUCGUUCCAGCGCUGUGAGAUAUGUAUCUUUCAAAACCUGCCCCCUCACUGCUCCACUUGCUCCCACUGCAGACUCACCAGCUUGGCUCGCUUACCUCCUCCCAUUUCCCCUCCUCCAGAGGCCCUUUACUCACUGUCCCCACUUCUUUCCCAACAACCACCUCUUUCUUCAUCCAAUCUUACAGAGCACACAUUUACACGUCUCACAGCGCCAGAGGGAAUAUUCCAUGCACCG